GGGCCGUUAGCUCAGUCGGUAGAGCAUCGCACUUUUAAUGCGGUGGUCGCUGGUUCGAAUCCAGCACGGCCCA
rnacentral:tRNA from 1 species